rnacentral:rRNA from 1 species
AUGGCGAUCGUUGCUUUAGAUGAGCUUGUCCAAGGAAAUAGCAACGAGUCAGUCUGUGUGUAUGUAUCGCGACUAUGGAACCAUCAUGGAGGCACUGACACUGGUCCGAUCAAGCACACUAACAUGGUUCUUAUGGAUGCCGUGGGCAACCACAUGUAUGCUGAGAUUUCUGAGAAACUGGUUCCUACAUUUGCGCCAAGGAUUCGUGAAGGCUGUGCUUAUGUGAUUUCUCAGUUCUUGGUGUUUCCAAACAAACGCUAUUUCAAGCCUGUCGCUGGACCACAUAUGAUCAGAUUCAACCGUUUUACCACAACCGACCCUCCAGCUGAUGAAGAGAUUGAAUUCCCAUUCUGUACUUACUCACUCACUGCUUUGUCUCAUCUUCCUGCGCCGGUUGAGACCCCUGACUAUUUCACAGGUGUGUUUAUUGCCUUCUUAUUUUUGCAGCUUCUCUGUCUAUGCUUUUAA